rnacentral:rRNA from 1 species
GAUGAACGCUGGCGGCGUGCUUAACACAUGCAAGUCGAACGGAAAGGCUCCUGCUUGCAGGGGUACUCGAGUGGCGAACGGGUGAGUAACACGUGGGUGAUCUGCCCAGCACUUCGGGAUAAGCCUGGGAAACUGGGUCUAAUACCGGAUAGGACGAUGGUUUGGAUGCCAUUGUGGAAAGUUUUUUCGGUGUGGGAUGAGCUCGCGGCCUAUCAGCUUGUUGGUGGGGUAAUGGCCUACCAAGGCGUCGACGGGUAGCCGGCCUGAGAGGGUGUACGGCCACAUUGGGGCUGAGAUACGGCCCAGACUCCUACGGGAGGCAGCAGUGGGGAAUAUUGCACAAUGGGCGCAAGCCUGAUGCAGCGACGCCGCGUGGGGGAUGACGGCCUUCGGGUUGUAAACUCCUUUCGCUAGGGACGAAGCGCAAGUGACGGUACCUGGAGAAGAAGCACCGGCUAACUACGUG